rnacentral:tRNA from 1 species
GGAUUGUGGCUCAAUGGUAGAGCACUUGCCUAGCAUGCGUGAGGCACUGGGUUCGAUCCUCAGCACCA